rnacentral:rRNA from 1 species
UACGAAGGGGGCUAGCGUUGUUCGGAAUCACUGGGCGUAAAGCGCACGUAGGCGGAUUGUUAAGUCGGGGGUGAAAUCCUGAGGCUCAACCUUAGAACUGCCUUCGAUACUGGCAAUCUCGAGUCCGGAAGAGGUUGGUGGAACAGCUAGUGUAGAGGUGAAAUUCGUAGAUAUUAGCUAGAACACCAGUGGCGAAGGCGGCCAACUGGUCCGGUACUGACGCUGAGGUGCGAAAGCGUGGGGAGCAAACGGG